rnacentral:lncRNA from 1 species
AUUGGGGAUGCUGAAACGGAAAGGUUCCGAGGUUCUAAGCCAAAAUGAACCACAAAUCAUGACUUAGCUCCAAAAGAAAAAAAGCCAGGUUACAAUAACAACAACAAUAAAACCCCAACGCACCCAGAAUUCCAUUCACGUGUAAUCACUAACUCUGGUAUUGAGCCAGUUUUUUCCAGGUAUGCAUGUGUUUAUACAUUUUAUCCCUGUUACCCCCUCCCUCUCUUCCCUCUUUUCCUGCAUUGGCAGCAUGUUAUAUUUGGAAACACCAUUUUAGAUUUUUUAAAAUCUCCUCCUACAAUUGGCCUACAAUUCUUAAAAUUCCUGGACAGGUUGAGUUGAUAAAUGCCAUUUUGCAUGCUAAUGAGUCCAACACCAUCCAACAGCCAGUAGGGUAGAUUCCAGAUGGAAUGGCUCACUGAAAGACCUGAGUAGGAUCAGAGGGUGGGGACUUUGAACCCAGCCCUCAGCUUCUAGGGCUAAAGGUUGAGUGGGUCAUCAGUGGUCAGUGUCUCAUCAGUCAUGUCCACAGCAUCCCUAGAAGACCCAUUCAGAGGAUCCUAUGUGCUUAGGGAGGUGAGGGCUGGUUCUUCUUAGAAGUUGGUGGUUUUCUGAGUAAUACGAGCUUCUAGGGGAACUCCAAACCAAGGAGGACCUCUGGAACCCUGCUUUCUAGGUGCUGGCCAUCAGAGUGGUACUACAACCUGGGCUUGCAUCUGCACCAAUGUAGGGACAUCUUGGGAGACAGAACCCCACCCUUGGGACCUAAUAUGAUCUUGAGGCAGACAUUUGUCAGAGCUGAACUGAAUUAAGGACAUUCUUCCUCUGGUGUUCACUGAUAAGGACCCUUUUAGGGUCCCAGAAUCCUGUACUGACUAGGACAUGAGAGUAGAGGUAAAAUAUGUAGUUUGUUUUGUUUUCUGGGAAAGUAUGAAACCCAGUUAGGAAUUACUUCUUUGCUUGAGUAUCUAAGACCAUUGUCCACGAGCAAGAAAGAGGUCAGGGCCAGCAGGUAGGUAUAUAUGCUCUCAAGAGCUCUGGGGCAGCGUAGCCUGUGGCACUGUAAUGGGAACAUGAGCCCUUGUGCCCUGUGUAGUUAGUGCUGUAAUCCUGGUCUUCACAUGAUAGCUGGCCUCUGGGUGUUAGUAACAGAGCCGAUUAUGUGAGGCCUGGCGAGAGGCCCGAAACCCAGGUGUGUGCCCAUGAAGUUGCCUCUCCUACCUCCAGCUGGGAAGUGCUGGUGAUGCACAUCCCCAGCCCACACAGACCUAUGGAAACUGCGCAUCCUGGGCAGAGCCACCCCAGAAGAAAACAGGAAAGGAUUGGAAUUGGCACCCUGGGGAGGGGAGGGGAGGUGGAAACACUGCACAGUCUCAUUUCUCUCUCUGAAUUUCUAGAGCAUACCCUGCAGCAAGGCUGUGGUGUUUGCUCGAAACAUCCUCAGACAGCAUGCCUGAGCCUCCCAGGGUGGGGAUGGGAACUUCUGAGGGAGUGGAAAGAGGGUCUGCUACAGAGCAGGAGGGCAGGUAAUGGAAAAAGCCAGUCUUGCCGCCCCCGCUCGGACACACUGCCCCACUGUUCUCCCACUCAGCCUUGUAAUGGGAAGGUGUGCAAAAUGUUGCGUCUUCUGUUACUUUGGAAAUUAACUAAAAAUAGGCUGUUUACUUGCUAUUGAGUUUUACUCAAGGGCACAUGUGUGGUGGAAAUGCUGAAAGAGACCCAUUAUGCCAAUCCCAGUGUGUUAGGAGUCACAGUGACGUGGGCCUAUUCCCCAAGAACGUCAUUUAUGUGAAUUUGCUUGACACCCAGGGGUUGCCUGACAUGACUUCCCACAGUAAUUGUGUCUCUCUCACACAGGGUCCUCUCAGGGCUAACUACUCUGUACCUGUCCUGGUGAAGGCAAGUUAUAACCUUACAAAGGCAGAUACCACACAGAGAAUUCAGGAACAGAGCAUCUCUGGAGGGCCCAUUCACUGUGUGUACACUGGGUGUCCAUGCAGUGUGCACGAGACGCGAUUCUGGGCAGGUGCCCUUUGGUGCACAUGUUGAGUUGCAUUGGGAAAGCUCUCAGGUCUGGAGUGCUGUGGUUGGUAGUGGGCACUAGGAAGGGUAAAGGUGCUCUUUAAGUAGAAGCUUUAAGGUAGAAAAACAAUUCAGAGACAGGACAGUGAGGAGCCUUGAGAUGGCUGUAAGGGAGGGGGGCAGCAGAGUGAAGCUCAGAGCCCAUUAGAGUGAGCAGAGUUGGACUUGAACGGAGCCAAGCUAAAAGUGAAAAAAGAAAAAGGAGAUUUAUUCAGUGUGGCCACAUUGGAAGAGGCACAAAGAGAUCUGAUGAACCACCAAGUCCUGAAGUGAGAUUAAAUAGAAAGCAGAAGAUUUGCAUACCUGAGCAGUACAGGUGUGGCCACACACACUGUUAAUCCAUCCUUGUCUGGACUUUAGUCUCCUUCUGUAAGGUGGUCUAAGAAGUUGUUAAAAUUAUGUGAAAUCAAAAAACAAAACAAAACAGCUGGGUGGUGGUGGCAGCGCACGCCUUUAAUCCCAGCACUUGGCAGGCAGAGGCAGGUGGAUUUCUGAGUUCGAGGCCAGCCUGGUCUACAAAGUGAGUUCCAGGACAGCCAGAGCUAUACAGAGAAACCCUGUCUCGAAAAAAAAAAAAAAACAAAACAAAAACAAAAAACAAACAAACAAAAAAUUAUGUGAAAGGGCAGGUCCCCUUUUGGCUGGUGCCUUUUCUUUCUCCCAGUUUGAGAUUCCCAGGGAGAUACCCAUUUCUCUGGGUGCCUUUGUUUUAACACUUUGAUAGUUGGAUUGAAAGGAAUAAUUGUCUCUUUAAAAUAUUUUCAUUUCUGCCAGGUCUGUUAGACCAGGAUUUACUAUAGGUUUAAGAGGAUGAGGAAGAGGGAUCCAGAAACUCUUGGUUCCAACAGAAUUUUUGUUACC